ACUGAUGUGCCAGGAGCUUCACUGGUGUGCUGGGACCCUCACUGGUGUGCCAGGACCAUCACUAAUGGGCCACGAGCCUCCCUGGUAUGCCAGGACUCUCACUGGUGUGCCAGGAGCUUCACUGGUGUGCCAUGAACCUCACUGGUGUGCCAGGAGCUUCACUGGUGUGCCAGGACCAUCAGUAAUGUGCCAGGACCCUCCCUGGUGUUCUGUAACCAUCACUGGUGUGCCAGGAGCCCCAUAGGGAUUUUGUGCCCCUGCCUGGUGUGCCAGAAGCCUCACCAAUGUGCCAGGGGCCUCACUGGUGUGCCAGGAGGAUCACUGGUGUGCCAGGAGCCUCACUGGUGUGCCAAGUGCCCCACUGGUGUGCCAGGACCCUCACCAAUGUGCCAGGAGCUUCACUGGUGUGCCAGGGGCCUCACUGGUGUGCCAGGAGCCUCACCAAUGUGCCAGGUGCCCCACUGGUGUUCCAUAACCAUCACUGGGUGUGCCAGGGGCCCUCAGCAUGCCAGCACCCUCGUGGUGUGGCUCCCUCCGUGCCCGGGAUGCCCCCAGAGCAUCGCCCGUGGGCUCUGCUGAGCCAGGCCUGGCACUGCCAGGGCAGGAGGUGCCUGAACCCACCCGUGCUAAACCCAGAGUCCCGUGUACAUAACGAAAAAAAAAAUAUGUAUAAAUAUGAAUAUAUAUUUACAUGUCUUUUUAAAAAGGGGUUGUUACCAGAGAUAUACCAGUUUGGUAGGAAGGUACUAGUGGCUGGUAGAUAUCAGUUGCUAUAUAUAUAUAUAUAU